GCGAGAGUGGCGGAAUAGGCAGACGCGCACGUUUGAGGGGCGUGUGGUAUUACCAUACGGGUUCGACCCCCGUCUCUCGCACCA
rnacentral:tRNA from 1 species